GGGCCCGUAGCUCAGCCUGGCAGAGCGCUCGGCUGAUAACCGAGAGGUCGGGGGUUCAAAUCCCCCGGGCCCA
rnacentral:tRNA from 1 species